rnacentral:rRNA from 1 species
CAGUCGCCACGGUAAUACGUAGGGUGCAAGCGUUAAUCGGAAUUACUGGGCGUAAAGGGCUCGCAGGCGGUUUCUUAAGUCUGAUGUGAAAGCCCCCGGCUCAACCGGGGAGGGUCAUUGGAAACUGGGAAACUUGAGUGCAGAAGAGGAGAGUGGAAUUCCACGUGUAGCGGUGAAAUGCGUAGAGGUGUGGAGGAACACCAGUGGCGAAGGCGACUCUCUGGUCUGUAACUGACGCUGAGGAGCGAAAGCGUGGGGAGCGAACAGGAUUAGAUACCCGCGUAGUCCCUGUCUCUUAUAC